rnacentral:lncRNA from 1 species
GAAGCGAAAUGUGUGACGGCAAGUGAGAAAUUUCCCACGUGCCGAAGUCUGGACGCUUUCCGGAGCUGUAGGCUAAGCUUGCGGCUACGUCACUGAAAUGCGUGAUCGGUCCCUGCCAGUGAAGUGCGACGUGGUCAUGAAACAAGCCCGGACCUUCGCCUUAAUUUUAAGGUUCUGCUCCACCGUGAGUACAACGAGUGGCUGGUGGCAGAAGACUGCGAAUUUAUGCCAACCGGACCUGUCAAAAGAGCCUCCCUGACGGCUGCGUGUGGCUGGGUGCAUUUGGCGUGGGCUGCUGUUCUGCAAGAUGUCCUGGUGCGGUAGUUUGCCAAAUUUGAAAUUUCGCUGGACCACGACGCGCUGUGGGACCGCAGCAACGAUGACGAUGGCAGCACUAGUGAAGACGAGUAGUCCAGUGACCAUGUCAGCUACUAAUAAAUUUUCGUUAUCGAAUGCG